UUCUCUUGAGUCUUCUCAUACACGGUCACUGUCCUUGUCCCUUGUCGUCGUCCACCAUUGCUCCUCACCACUGGGUCCUUUUUCACCCCUGGUGCGACCUCAUCUCACUUGAGUCUAAGUCUAGUCUCUCAGAAAUCUCAUUGCCCCUGCCCCUUUGUCGUCGGCCACCAUUGCUUCUCGCUGUGGACUCCUUCUCCACCCCACGACAUGACCUCAUUUCAAGGAUUUCUAAGUUUCAAAACUCUUAACCCUAAGUACCUCACCCUCUGCUUGAGCCACCUUUUCCCAGCCCACUGUCUCUCGUUCUCUCUCUUCUCUCUCUUCUCUUACAGUGCGACCAUCCCUCCUACCCCUCUUCGUUCACCACCGAUUCACGGUACAACUUGGAAUGACACUUAGAGUUUGGUUCUUUUAUUGUUAACUUGUUGGAAAUUUGUAAUGGAAACAUUUAAUUUGGUUGGCACAAAAAAAUUGUUUUGUUGGUGUUAGGUUCUUUUGUUGUUGGAAUGAGAACUUAGAAAAUAUUGGUUGUUGCAGUUGGGAAAAAAUAACAUUAUGAUGGAUGAUGGGUUGGUUAGAUAAUUUGGGAGACUGGUUGUGUUUUAGCACAACUUGAAGCCCUAGAUAUUUGGUUUUGUUUGUUGUUGGAAUGAGAAUAUGUAAUUGGCUUUAAUUUGUGUUGUUGGUUAUAUAACUUAUAUUUUAGUUUUGGCUUGUA